rnacentral:rRNA from 1 species
UACGUAGGGCGCAAGCGUUAUCCGGAAUUAUUGGGCGUAAAGAGCUCGUAGGCGGUUUGUCGCGUCUGCUGUGAAAGACCGGGGCUCAACUCCGGUUCUGCAGUGGGUACGGGCAGACUAGAGUGCAGUAGGGGAGACUGGAAUUCCUGGUGUAGCGGUGAAAUGCGCAGAUAUCAGGAGGAACACCGAUGCGAAGGCAGGUCUCUGGGCUGUAACUGACGCUGAGGAGCGAAGGCGUGGGGAGCGAACAGG